rnacentral:rRNA from 1 species
GAUGAACGCUAGCGGCAGGCCUAAUACAUGCAAGUCGAACGGUGUAGCAAUACACAGUGGCGCACGGGUGCGUAACACGUAUGCAACCUACCUUACAUUGGGGGAUAGCCUUUCGAAAGGGAGAUUAAUACCGCAUAAGACAGUAACUAGGCAUCUAGUAGCUGUUAAAGAUUUAUCGAUGUAAGCUGGGCAUGCGUCCAAUUAGUUAGUCGGCGAGGUAAUGGCUCACCAAGACGAUGAUUGGUAGGGGAACUGAGAGGUCAAUCCCCCACACUGGCACUGAGAUACGGGCCAGACUCCUACGGGAGGCAGCAGUAGGGAAUAUUGGGCAAUGGGCGCGAGCCUGACCCAGCCAUGCCGCGUGCAGGAAGAAGGCGUUAUGCGUUGUAAACUGCUUUUAUACAGGAAGAAACGACCCUUGCGAGGGGCAUUGACGGUAUUAUAUGAAUAAGCACCGGCUAACUCCGUGCCAGCAGCCGCGGUAAAAC